GAGUAACGCUACGGCAGGCUAAUACUGCAGUUCGAACGGUGCCUUCGGGCAUAGUGGCGCACGGGUGCGUAACACGUAUGCAACCUACCUUACAUUGGGGGAUAGCCUUUCGAAAGGGAGAUUAAUACCGCAUAACACAGUGAGUUGGCAUCAGCUUAUUGUUAAAGAUUUAUCGAUGUAAGAUGGGCAUGCGUCCAAUUAGUUAGUUGGCGAGGUAACGGCUCACCAAGACGAUGAUUGGUAGGGGAACUGAGAGGUCAAUCCCCCACACUGGCACUGAGAUACGGGCCAGACUCCUACGGGAGGCAGCAGUAGGGAAUAUUGGGCAAUGGACGCAAGUCUGACCCAGCCAUGCCGCGUGCAGGAAGACGGCCCUCUGGGUUGUAAACUGCUUUUAUAUAGGAAGAAAGAAUCCUUGCGAGGAUAGUUGACGGUACUAUAAGAAUAAGCACCGGCUAACUCCGUGCCAGCAGCCGCGGUAAUACGGAGGGUGCAAGCGUUGUCCGGAUUUAUUGGGUUUAAAGGGUGCGCAGGUGGUUUAUUAAGUCAGUGGUGAAAGACGGUCGCUUAACCGAUUGCAGUGCCAUUGAUACUGGUACGACUUGAGUGAAUUAGAGGUAGCGCGGAAUUGAUACUGUACGCGGGCCGAAAUGCAUAGAUAUUAUCAAAGGAACUCCGAUUGCG
rnacentral:rRNA from 1 species